rnacentral:sRNA from 1 species
UGGCUAUCUAGUGGGCAGCAGCAGGGUC